UUGGGCUUAGGGGCAGCAGUGAGGAAUAUUGGUCAAUGGGCUUACGCCUGAACCAGCCAAGUCGCGUGAGGGAAGACUACCCUAUGGGUUGUAAACCUCUUUUGUCAGGGAGCAAUUGGCGCUACGUGUAGCGUUAUCGAGAGUACCUGAAGAAAAAGCAUCGGCUGACUCCGUGCCAGCAGCCGCGGUAAUACGGAGGAUGCGAGCGUUAUCCGGAUUUAUUGGGUUUAAAGGGUGCGUAGGCGGAAUGCCAAGUCAGCGGUAAAAUCGCGGGGCUCAACCUCGCUCCGCCGUUGAAACUGGCG
rnacentral:rRNA from 1 species